GUAAUGAAGAGAACUCAGAUUUGAGCCUUCAGCUUUCUGACACCAUAUCUAAUUCACUUUCCCCUGUAUCUUCUUUGAGGUUUCCAGCACAAAGGGUAUCCUUUAAUAUGUUUUCCAUUUGGUUAGCAGAGUGAUGCUGUCAUAACCAGGCCCAGAGGAUUUGGAUUUGAAAAGUUAUUGGCACAACAAAUGUGAGAGGAAACAACUUUGAAGGAGCACAGAACCCUGACUGAAGCAGUAAGCAAUCAUGUUUGAAAAGAGUGGUGAAAAAAAAGGAGUGAUGAAGCUACCUUCUCACCUCUUGGCAGAGAGCUGAUGGACUAUGGAUGCGGAAUCACACUUGCAUGCUCAGGCAUCAUCUAUGUGUUGAUUUAUAUUGGUUGACUAUACAUAUUUGCUACAAGAAAGGGCUUCUGCUCUUGGAUUAGGAGACAUGAGUUAGGGAGUAGCCAUAGAUGUGGAGAAAAACAGAGCAACAAUCAAACAUUAAGAAGAAAAAUCAGGCAAAUCUGGCAAAACAUGGAAUCAUCAGAGGAGAAAAAAAGCCAAGCAGAAUGUCCAAAUGUGUCCAUGUCUAGAAAAGUAUCUCUUCUUCUCCCCCUUGUGGCCAGGCAACUUUGCAAUGAAGAAACUCCAUUCACCCAACCAAGGCAGGUCAAACAAAGCUCCUGCUCUUUCAGCCUUAGGGAGUUGCCUGCAGCCUGGAGAAGCUAAGCAACUUGUCCAUGAUCAUCCAGACAAUCCAUAUCAGAGAUGUCACUUGAACCCAGAUCCUUCUAACUCAGCAGCUAGCUCCCUCUCCAGGAUACUACACAGCCACUCAAAUGCUAGCAAUAUACAACCAUUUACUCAUAAUGUGACCUUGGACUUGUCUCUCUGGGUCUCAGUUUCCUCCUCUAUAAAAAGAAGGGGUUGCACUUGCUAGUCUCCAAAGUUCCUUCCAGCUCAGACAUUUUGAGAUACUUUUGUCCAUUUGCUGUGUGAUGGUAAACAAGUCUGUCUCCUUGAAUUUUCCCAUCUACCAGGUGCAAAUAGCAAGAUUUGCUUUUCAAAAGAAAGAUGGAGCCCUAAAGGGGAAUGAACUGCUUUGGGAAGUAGGAGGCUCCUCAUCACUAGAAGAUUUUUGACAACUGGUGGCAGAUCUAAGAAGCAGAAAGGCAUAGUGGGUAAAGUACUGUGUCAGGAAGACACAAGUUCAAAUCCUAUCUUUGAUACUUAGCAGCUGUGGGCACUCCAGGCAACCCUUAGGUUCCUCACCUAUAAACUGAGGAAUUUGGACUCCAUGGCUCCUAAGGAUCCCUCCCUCCUAGCUCAAAAAUAAUCUCCCUUUGUAGAGAGAAUUCCUGCUCAGUUAUAAAUUGGGGCAGAUGGCCAUUAAGGACCUUACAAACUGAAGUUUCCGUGAUCCCAGGGUAAUAUUGCCUGCUUUGUCUCCUUCAUAAUAAGGCUGUGAAGAUAAAAAUGAGAUAACAAAUGUCAACACUUUGAACUGUUCAAAACAUAGCACAAAUAUAAGGUACUAUAAAAUCUCCAACUGAAUUAAGGAAAACAAGUCUUUUGUCUCUCUUUCACAAUUAAAAUAAAAUAAAAUAAAAUAAAAUCUAACCA
rnacentral:lncRNA from 1 species